ensembl:lncRNA
UUUUUCUUUUUUCAAUUUAGUCAUUGGGGAUCUUUCUCUGCUAUGGUGAUAAAACAAUAAGCAUAGAAUACCACAAUAUUUCCACGUUAGCAACUUUUAGAUCGCUCAUAGAUGCAUCUUUAAUGCUACUGCUCAUUGGUAGGACUGCUGUAUGGAAGAACAUAAGAACAUUUCCUGGUCCAGAAAACUCUUUGCCUACCUUACAGUGGGAGGUCUUGGCAAACAAUCCCGUUUUAAUGGUUACCACUGAGAUAACCUCAAUUCUCUCCUCACCUACUUUUCUGUUCCUCCUCCUUGCCUCAGCUUUCUUCCCUCCAGAAUCAUCUAUUUUUUCACAUUUUCCAGGAGAAUCUGCUCAAUACAUCAGAUAUGUUUUCAUUCCUCCAGUUUGUUAUUACUUGUGCACUCUGCUUCAGCCAAGUGUCAAAUCUCUCUUUAUUAAUGAUAAUUUUGUUGAUAGCAUUCAAUUAUGCUGCAUUCAUCCACUAUGCCAAGUUGCAGCUUCGACCUGCAGCAAUUCCUGUAAGGAUCCUCAUUCUCAUCCUCUUUUAAAGGUUGCCUAAAACAAGUAAAUGGAAAACCUGCUGGUGGACCUAAUUGGCUGCUGCUAGGUUGUCACUCAGCUUCACCUCCCAUCAUCAUUAGGCUACAGGGCACCAUUUCCUGUUAUUUUAUAGGAUCAGUUACACUAUUUUUCUUUGAGAUUCCUUUUGCUUCAUUGCAACUAAGCAAAACAGUGAAAAAUGCAAACAUACAUUCGCGUGGCCAUGCCACGAUCAUCAGCUUCUUUCAUUGUAUAGCCUCCUCUUCCUCAUGGAGAUCUGUUCCUCAAUAUGUGAUUUCCUUCACAUGGUUUGCAAGAAACUCAGGGGAGUGAUGUGCCCAGAACCUUCUUUGUUACUUCCAUCCCAGUGGCCCAAAACACUGAUUAGUCAUGAAAUUAGACAAGCAAGCAAGAAAUCGGCCAAGUAAAAUAAAACCCACCAAUAAAACUCCACACACAAAGACAUGCAAACAACAGAUCAACAGCAGAAGAAACCCCAAAAACUGACAGUGAUGAAAAUCUGAUUUGAUCUUGUUUCAUGAUUUUGACAUCCAGGAGAGCUACAUUGAGACCCGUGCAAAAAAUUAAUUUAGUAUCAAUAGUGCUGAGACAACCUUAAAAAAUAAAAUAAUAGAAACUCUACACAGGGGGAUUUGAGCUUUCUGAGGGUUAUCGAGCUCUCUCUGUUUUGCAUGUAGAGACUUCAUUUGUCUGCCUUCCUGAUGCCCUCUUACCUCCGCCUUCAAUCAAAAUCCCGAGAGCCGCUGAGGCAAGCCUAGGAAUAAGCUGCAAUUAAAUCCUGACAAUGCACUACUCGCACACAGAUCCUCGGGACAGAGAGCAGACUGCCACGUUCCAUGAACUAUGCUCUUGAUCUUAAUUCCUCAGAGGAAAUAACUCAUCAGCAGAUCAGGGAAAGAAAAGACUCUUAUUAAUGGUGGAAACAGAUGAAGGGAAGCGUCACAGAAGUUGUUUCAUUGGAGAGGCUGCAGGGAGCUCAAGAGGCAAGAGCAUCAUAGACAGCAUAUGUGAUCACCACCUCCAUAACAAAAUAGCAUCGCAGACCAUGGUCCAAGAAAUAGGCUGGAAUCUCUCAAUUGGGACCCAACCAUUGGAAGAACAGGACCACUUUGCUGUUGUUCUCAGGAAGAAAAGGCACCAGCACUGUGGGCAAGAUGCGUUCAGUGAACUGGGCCUUUUUGGGAGCAGCAGAAAAAAGGAAAAUACAGAAAAGCAGGCACCAUUGGGUGGUGCUGAUGAUGCACAUGCCACAGCAACACCUAAGUUGGGACGGGGAAUGCAGAGGUCAAGUUUCUUUAUGCGCUCAUGCCCAACUACAAAAAAACCAAGUUUGAUUUAUUAUCUCCUUGUUAUGGCUAAAAAACUAUAAUGCACACGGUCUCUGUCUGUAGGAAAAAGUAAGAAAUAACACAUAAAUACCAUUAGUCCAUUUGUUGCCUCCCUCAGAAGCCAGCCCUCUCCAUCCUGCUCACUUCUUGUACAGUGUCAACCUGUUCUUGAGGAUGUACUUUCUGUGUCUCAUUAGUGCACACUUCAAAACAAUUUGCUGGUUUUGUUGUUGGUGGUGUUUUGUUUUUUUUUUAACAUAUAAUCAACUCAAACACUUUGUACAUUAGGAGCAGACACAGCUGAUCACUGUGCUUAUGGUUUCAUAUCAGAAACAGAGCAUUGGGUCAAGGGUAUGUGCGCAUUAAUGGAUAGUUCAGGCUUUAACCCCAGGUGGAAAAUGUAUGUGAAAUGUAUUUGAAAGGACUGCACUGAGAUUGCCUUGAAGAUGAGAAAGGGGAGAUUUAGACUGUAUGGGGGAAAAGAUUAUUACUAUAGGAGUAGUGAAGCAUUGGCACAGUUCUCCAGAGGGCUGGGUGCCCUAUUCCUGCAGAUGCCCACAGUUAUCUGCCCUACAGAUGGGCUCUCAGCACUGGUGGAGCUGUGUGUGUCCCUGUGCAUUACAAGAAGUGGAACUGAUGGCUUUUAAGGGUCUCUUCCCACUCAAACAAUUCUAUGAAUGCAGGAGGAAAGGUGCACUCGCAGAAGAGUGAGUAUGGAUCAGGGAAUGUUAAAACGCCCGAUUUGCAACAGCUCUCAAUUCCUAACACAUAGGUGGCUGCAAAAAUCAGGACUGUUGAUUUUACUUACACUUUGCUGUAUGAAACAAAAUCUGUGUGACUAGGAAUCAUGACACUGUGCAACUGCAAAUAGCUUUAUCCCCAACACCAUCAUCUUACAGUUAUUGCCAAAAGCAUUUUUUUCCCCCAACAUCGUAUGAGUUUCCCAGGCAGAAAAAUUAUCACUGAGAUAGAUCCCAUGUUAAACACAUUCACAAAUACUUGCAGCUGUCUGUCACGCUGGGGCGUUACUCAGGGCUCACAUGGGCAGUGGUCACACGUGCAGACACCACAGCCAUGAUGGUUUUGCCUCUUCUCCAGCUGGAGCUGCUGGGUGCUGCCACCCAUUCCGAUGAAUGAUGGGAAUGUACAGAGGAGCUGGCUAAAUCAAUUGGAAGAAAAGAGCAUCACAGAAAUAAUUCAAUCUGCAUAAACCACCUUUUCUGGAACAGCAGUAUACCCACUUGAAGUUAAUAAUGACAUCUUCAGCAGUUCCUUUAUUGAUCUGAAGGAGGGCACCGAUACAUAUGGGGUUCUCAAUCAAUUGUUCUCCUUUCAGUGUAUUUAACUGCUGCCGAAAGCAGCGGUACUUUGUUCAGCUAUUUUGUUGUUCACAGAGAAACGAACACUCCUUGAAAAACACCUCAGACUUCCAUUUGUUUCAAGUCAUUAGACCAAAAUCUUUCACACGGACAAUAUGAUUUAUAAACUCAGAGAGAUACUUUUAUGAGCCACCUUCUGAAUUCUAAACCUUCAGUAUUUGCCAUAGCUCUUUAUUCAUUUGGUCUCUGAAAGGAAAGAAAAAAGCUCACCGGUGAAUAAAGAGGAAAAUGAUUCUCAGGAUUCAAACAGGAAGAACAUCAAAUUAAAAAAUCAUUUAUUUCAGUUCUUCGCAUGCAGCUUAGUCACAGACGCAUAUGACUGUCUAGCCAGGCUCUCCAGCCCUUCACACAGCAAUUCUGUCUUUGAGGCACAAAUUGAAUGCAAGCGACUGACACAGAACUGAGAGGAAUAGACAGAUUCUGAAUGGGACUAAAAGAGCGAGCUUCAAGUCCUGCUUCACAGCCCCUGUUCAAAGGUAUGCCUGGACAGUGUAUGAACACUGGCUACCUCAGUCCUGUAAGAGGCACCAAAAUUUUACCCAUUUGGG